UGUACUAAAGUGAUCAACGCCUUUAUUCAGCUGCCCUCUCUCCUUUCUCAUACAUGUGUAAACCUAUGUGCAUACUCGUGUCUUUGCUUGCAUUCAUCACUUUGGACCCUUAGGGCCUAUAAAGCUGUUGGUUUGACCUACGUUUUACAUGUCUUUUGCAGGUUGGCCAAAUUUAGAUGGGAUAGUUUGUGGCUACCAGUAGGGCCCCUUAGUGGAGCUGGAAUCUGCAUUUACGUAGACCAUUUACUAAAUGUGUCAUCUGAAGAAAUACGGAAACUUAGAAGAUAUAUGUAUGCAUAUAAAGCCAGGUAAGAGUUUAGAGGAUGUAUUUAUGGGCCCUUAAAGCCAGUUAAGAGUGUCGCCCUAAUCGAUUUAUAGCACUCAACUAGUUCCAUUAUAGAUUUUCCCUCUUUUUUUGUCUGGUGUACGAUGACUAUGAGAUGUACUGUAAAGUUCCGGAGAGUUUGUCUGAUAGGAAGGGGCUUAAAUUAAUGGCGGAAGCUCUUUUAUUCCAUCAUUCCCAUUUCCCUCAAUGGGAAUUCUCUGUUUUGAUAUAUAUAUGGCACUGUAAAUACUUUGUUCCUGGUACUAAUAUACUUUCGUUCUGGUGG